rnacentral:rRNA from 1 species
GACGAACGCUGGCGGCGUGCUUAACACAUGCAAGUCGAACGGAAAGGCCCUGCUUUUGUGGGGUGCUCGAGUGGCGAACGGGUGAGUAACACGUGAGUAACCUGCCCUUUACUUUGGGAUAACUUCAGGAAACUGGGGCUAAUACCGGAUAGGAGCUCCUGCUGCAUGGUGGGGGUUGGAAAGUUUCGGCGGUUGGGGAUGGACUCGCGGCUUAUCAGCUUGUUGGUGGGGUAGUGGCUUACCAAGGCUUUGACGGGUAGCCGGCCUGAGAGGGUGACCGGCCAAAUUGGGACUGAGAUACGGCCCAGACUCCUACGGGAGGCAGCAGUGGGGAAUAUUGCACAAUGGGCGGAAGCCUGAUGCAGCAACGCCGCGUGCGGGAUGACGGCCUUCGGGUUGUAAACCGCUUUCGCCUGUGACGAAGCGUGAGUGACGGUAAUGGGUAAAGAAGCACCGGCUAACUACGUG